UGCGUAGGCGGAAAAUUAAGUCAGUGGUGAAAUCCUGCAGCUCAACUGUAGAACUGUCAUUGAUACUGAUUUUCUUGAAUACAGUUGAGGUAGGCGGAAUAUGUAAUGUAGCGGUGAAAUGCUUAGAUAUUACACAGAACACCGAUUGCGAAGGCAGCUUACUAAACUAUGAUUGACGCUGAGGUACGAAAGCGUGGGGAGCGAACAGGAUUAGAUACCCUGGUAGUCC
rnacentral:rRNA from 1 species